rnacentral:rRNA from 1 species
AGAUUGAACGCUGGCGGCAUGCUUUACACAUGCAAGUCGUGCGGCAGCGCGGGGGCAACCCUGGCGGCGAGCGGCGAACGGGUGAGGAAUACAUCGGAACGUGCCCCGGAGUGGGGGAUAACCCAGCGAAAGUUGGACUAAUACCGCAUAUGCUCUGAGGAGGAAAGCAGGGGACUUCGCAAGAGGCCUUGCGCUCUGGGAGCGGCCGAUGUCCGAUUAGCUAGUUGGUGGGUGAUGGCUCACCAAGGCGACGAUCGGUAGCUGGUCUGAGAGGAUGAUCAGCCACACGUGGACUGAGACACGGCCAGACUCGUACGGGAGCAGCAGGUGGGAAUUUUGGACAAGUGGGGACAACCGUGAUCCAGCCGAUCGGCCGCGGUCGGACGGAACGAGGUCCGUUCGGUUACGGUAAACCGUCGUUUGGUACGGGAAG